rnacentral:rRNA from 1 species
CAGCCGCCGCGGUAAAACGAAGGGGGCUAGCGUUGUUCGGAUUUACUGGGCGUAAAGCGCACGUAGGCGGACUUUUAAGUCAGGGGUGAAAUCCCGGGGCUCAACCCCGGAACUGCCUUUGAUACUGGAAGUCUUGAGUAUGGUAGAGGUGAGUGGAAUUCCGAGUGUAGAGGUGAAAUUCGUAGAUAUUCGGAGGAACACCAGUGGCGAAGGCGGCUCACUGGACCAUUACUGACGCUGAGGUGCGAAAGCGUGGGGAGCAAACAGGAUUAGAUACCCGCGUAGUCCCUGUCUCUUAUAC